UAYUUAUAGACUUGAAGUUGCUUAAGUGUUCACACAAAUUGCUUGAUGAUUUUAUUGUUUAGUGAGAAUGAUAUUUGUUCUUUAACAAUGUGGUAAAAAGUAUAAGUAAAGAUUCCUUGAUUAAUUUAGGGUUAUUUUUAGUUUAGGUUGAGGUGUAUUUUUAUAUGUCUGGAUUGAUGAUUAGAAAUAAUUUUAGUUUAUUUAAUUAACGAGUCUUGGUAAUUUUUGAAAACCGGUGUUGAGAUAUAAUUUUGAUUGGUUUUAGUUAAUAGAUUAUAGAUUUAUUGAUAUAAGACUUUKUGGGGUUAUAUG
rnacentral:misc_RNA from 1 species